CAGAGGCCGAGCGACGUGGCCGAGGAGCAGUUGAUCGAGGAGGCCACGAUGAGGCGGACACCGACUGCAAGCGGAAGCUGCCAGCGCCGCUGACCCGGAGAGGCACGGACAGGCGAGAGCCAUCCCCAAGACUUUGAGAGUACAGUUGGCCUUUUGUGUUGGUGGAUUCUCCGUGGUAUGGAUUUAACCAACCACUAAUCAACACUGCAGACUCUAAAAAUCGGUGGAGAAGAAGGGGGACAACGACUGAAAAACUGCCUGCUGGGAUCAAGAUGAGCUAUAUUAAAGAUUGAUAUAGUCUUUAUGAAAAUGUGCCUCAUUAGUUGGCUGCAAGAAAGUUAUUCAGCCUACAAAAGGAAAAAGAACUAUUUUAAUGGCGUAAUUCUCCACUUUCAUCUGUGACUUAAAGAAGAAAUUGCUAGACAACUCUUCAUAGACACUACUUUUCUUCACAACAAUGCAUUUGUCAUUACAUAGUGCAAGGGGAUGUCAUCUGACACCCUCACAGAUAUUUUGAGGUAAGUUGUUGAUUUGAGGUAAGUUGUUGAAGUAGUGAAUGUAAAAGUCCUUCACCACUUCUAUCUUCUUAAGUCUUAGAUUCCUCCUAAUUUUCAACAAAUAAUAUCUGACAUCUCAACUUCAUUUAGCAUAGGUAUGAAAUACACACUCUAAUUAUUCACUUUAGCAAACAAUUUGAAACAUUCCCACUCUUGAAUCCACAUGUUUAAAGAUUAAUUUUAAGUACUUCCAUAUAAAAAUAGUUUUAUCUAAGUUUGACUUAUUUCCCCCUUAGCCUGAGCCUCUGUCUUCUACUUUGGUGCCGACCUUGUUCUGUUCCCCUGGGACAUACUCUUAUCUAACUCUCAUCGUAGUUCAGGACAUUUGUCUCAAUGUAACCAUGGCAGAGAGUGUAGAAUUCCUACAGUAAGGAUUUAGAUAAAAAUAUGUGUUGUUUAAAAUAAAAUGAUAACACGUAUAUUAGAAAAAGGAAACAGAUCAGUUUCUGUUGUCAACAAAAGGUUUAGAAGGAUUUUUUAAUUUGCUUUAUUCAUAGUGUUCCCAAUUUUCACUGAAAACCCUAUUCCAAUUUUCCAUGUUCAGUCUUGUUCCAAUUAAUACCUUGAUGGUCACUCAGCAUUUAUUGUGAAGCUGCAAAAUUAAUUUAGGCUUUAAACAGCGAAUUGAAAAGGCAGAUUCUGUAUCUGAUAUUUUUGCAGCAUGAGACUUAUGGAUGAUUAAAUGAUUGAAAUAAAUUACAGAAACUUCCUGAACAAGUGAAAAUUUUUAACCUGAAAAUUUAAAUGAUUAGUUUGUGAUUUUCUUCCCUUAAAUGGAGUGUGUUACAAAUCACCAAUUCACUCCACAGAACCCCAUAUUUUUUAUUUUAUUAAAGAAAUAGCUUAUUGCAGAGACCGCACACUUUGCUAAAUAUUGCCUUUUUUAUACUCUUUAUUUAAGGUAACCACAGUGAUAAUGUAAGUACCUAUGUGCCUAACACAUCAAUACAUGGUAAUGACUACCAGUAGCCAUAUACCAGUGUUAACAAAAUUCUUUCUGUUUUCAAAAUCAUUCAUCUCUGAAACAAAAUCCCAGGUUUUCAUUUUUUAUGUAUCUGUAGCUUGCAACAGCACUGUACAAUUACUCUGACAGACAGAUCUAUCACUACUGAAAAGACAAUUCACUUUAGCUAAUUUUAAGGAGAGAUAAUUGUUACUAUAAAAUAAGUUAUUAAUCUAAUAUUAGGAGAUCUGGGGGGGCAAUGAUACAUACUAAAUUAAAUAUUCAGGAAAUUCUUCCAUUGCCCCAUUGCCACACUACAGAAUGAAGCUAUCAAACAGAAGAGCCUACUUUGUGUAAAAAGUUGUAGUAUAUAAAAGCUACCUAUUGAGAUAAGAAGAUGUCAUCACUGCUUCUGGUCCCAGAGUCACAUCCACCGUGACCUGAUUCAUAUCAGCAAACUUGAUGCAUUUUGCCUUCCUCACUGUCUCCAUGACCCAAUUACAAAUUCAAGUCAUGUCCCAGUGAAACUGCUUAGCAGAAUAUAUAUCAUGGCCAGAAUCCUGCAUACUGGAAGAGAGUUAGAAGGAAUCUUGAGCAAACCAAUCUAAAUUUUUUGCUUCACCUGAUCAUUUCAGAAAAAAGAAAGAAAGAAAAAGCAUAUUGAGUCAGUUUAUAGGUAAUUCAGCUGGAUAUGUCAGCACUGUGGCAAAGUGAGCUUCUCUGUUAUUACAGCUUUAUUUAGCACGGGCACUAAAGAAUGUGAGAGCAGGGACAUUCUCACAGUAAGUAAAACCAGAAAUUCUCUACAUUAUUUGCUUUAUGGCUAAAAGAAUAAUUGCUCUGAGGUCAAUAGCUGUUCCAUUUCCUAUAAUAUAUCGGAUGGUCAGGACUUAUGUCAGAAAUUUGGAAUGGCAAAGCUGGAAAACUGGAAUUAGUCGGCUAAGCUGUACAUAAUGGGCCACAAAGCUGCAUAUGUACAUAAUUUACAUUAAUGCUUUUCAAGUGGGGUUAGGAUACUAUGUGAAAGAUACGUGACUGUUUUAUUACUGCUACUGUAGUUUCAAUCAUAUAUCUUACUAUUCUCCCAAGAGUGAUUGACUGCUUCCAAAGUUAAGAAAUCAUUUUGUAACUGCUUAUGCUUCUUGCCGGAAACCACAUUUACCUUAAUAUAGUGUUUAAGAUGUCAAAACACUGGGAGGGAGAGGAGUGUUGCAUGGCAUUUACUAAUAAAAUAACUUACAUGGUAGGGUGAACGUUGGCUAUAGGCCAGACAUUGUCCUAAGUGCUUCACAUAUUUUAACUUAUCUAAUAUACAUAGCAUUCUGUUAAUACUCUGUUCUGCCCUGCGGGAAAGGCAGGAUGGAUACUCCUACAUCAAAAAUUCAGUUCAGAUGUUGAGACUGAUGUUGCUACAUGCUCACACCAGGAGGAUAGGAAAAGGUUUUCUGUAUAUAUAACUGAUGUCUAAAGGAACAGGAAGGUAUCUCAAAAUGUCUAAAGAAAGAAGAAUGGCUUAAGAUUUUUGUUAUGAAGAGGGGUAUGACUCAGAGUAAGAGGUCCUCUGCAUGGGCAGGGGCUAAGAUGAUGUGAUUCUUUCAUCAGCAGCAAAGGACAGAGAAGCUAGGCUUUCUCAUCAGCUUGUACAUGUGUGGGGAACAAGGGAAAGAAGGAAUUACAAAAUCAAAAACUGAUAAAGUCAACUAUGAAAACAUGGUUACAGAUUCUUUAUUAUGAUUCAACCUUGCUUUUUGACUGCUGACUGUAACAUGCCAUAUUGCAGUUAGUUGAAUUUGGAUAUGCUUAAAUCAGCCAUUAUGAUGCUCUAUGAUGCCUUCAUCCUGAGGUGGAUAAAGAAUAUGAAAGUUCCCAUUGAAUGCCUUAUUAAGAUGUCGGCAUUGUGUAUUUUGAUAAGUGAAGUGCUCUACAAUGCCUGCAUCCUGAGGCAGGUAAGGAAGGUGAAAGUUCCCAAUGAAUGUCUUAUUAAGAUCUCUGCAUUAUGUAUUUUGAUAAGUGAAAUGAGUGCCUUGGUCACAUGAAUAAUAUUUAGAAUUCUGAAAUAGAUAAACGUGUUUGGGUAAGAUCUUAUAUCUUGGCUUUAGUAUAUUUAGCCUAUGUUGUGUUGUUUGUUAAAUUGAUUUAUAUUUUGGAUUUCUAUAAGGCAGAAGAUUUCCAGAAUUCAUCACCUUAAUGGAGGUAACUUUCAUGCAGUGGCCCAAGAAUCUGUAAAAGUGUUCAGGUGGGCCUGAUUAGCCAGGCCAUCUAGCACUGAUAGCUGCCUAAGGUUUGGCCAGUUGUGUCAUUUGGGUCUGGUCUUCUGUCAGAAAAGUCUCAUUUAAGGGAUGAAAGCAGAAGGGAUGAAAAGCAGCAACUCUUCACUGAGUUUUGUCACAUUCCUGGGUUCAAUACUGUCCACAAAACAUAAGAACUCCUUCAAGUAAUCUCAAGAGACUCCCCAGGUAGCCAUGAGGUAGGGUAAAAACUUACCCUUUCAACACCAUGGAAUCUGAUAAAAUACUAAACUGAGCGGAGGCCAACCACUUUCCCAUCAAAGGUAUAUACUGGUUGGGUGCAGUGGCUUAUGCCUUAAUCCCAGCACUUUGGGAGGCAGAGGUGGGUGUAUCACCUGAGGUCAGGAGUUUGAGACCAGUCUGGCCAACAUGGAGAAACCCCAUGUCUACUAAAAGUACAAAAAUUAGCCUGGCAUGGUGGUCAGCCCCUGUAAUCCCAGCUACUCAGAAGGCUGAGGCAGGAGAAUAGCAUGAACCUAGGAGGUGGAGGUUGCAGUGAACCGAGAUUGCACCACUGCACUCGAGCCUGGGCCAUAAGAGCGAGACUCUGGACUCCAUCUCAAAAAGGAAAAAAAAAAAAAAAAAAAAGAUUAUCAGUUUGAAUAUUUUAAAGGAGAAUUUCCAGAGGCACUCAGAAUUGAACAGACUUGAAAAAAAAGUGGGGGGAUAUACUAGAAGGUACAGGUUUGUUCCAUCUGGUAUCAAGGAGGCCUUGGUAGCCAUACAGAAUUUGUGAGUCAUUGCUUCCAUGACCCGAGGCAUACAGAAUAGCAGGGUAAGGAGACUCACAAGUUCAGGGACUGUGAGCCCUUCUUUUUCCAGGAAAGCAUAGUGUGCAACCAGCAACGGCCUCUCUGAGAGCAUAUAUUGUGGGAAAAGGAAGAUAGUGUUGGGUGUGGCAGGGGAGGAUUCCUACACAUGGGAGGGUUAACGGAGACAACUGGAUGAUAUUUUUAAAAAGCAAAGGGAAGGGAAAAGGAUUACAGCAAAACAAACAAUAGUGUAUAGAAGGAACAAUGGUAUAAGAAGGAUAGAAUGAUGUACCAAAAAUUUUUUUGAAAGAGGGUCAUUUAGUACAGGGAUAUUCUGAAAGACAAUGUUCAACAUGAGUAGAAAUAAUUUGAUUAGAAGUGGUAGAUGUGGAAAUCGAUUUUUAUUUGAGUUAUAAAUGUUGAAUAAGCAAUUUAAGAAUAAAAAGAUAAUCACGUUAUAUUUCAGAAGGACAUGGGUUUGAAUAAAGAUUCCUUCUAUUUUUCUUUUGAAAGGUAUAUCUAUUUUAAAGUAAAUUUUAUGGCAUAUAUUCCAUGUAUACAACUUGAUGUCAUAAGAUACUCACAUUUUUUUAAACGGCCGUGCACUUCCAGGCUGCCAGCAUGGAGGGCAGCAGCAACGAAGUGCAGACAGCAUCAUGGCCGAGCAGGUGGCCCUGAGCCGGACCCAGGUGUGAGGGAUCCUCUGGGAAGAGCUGCUCUGGGGACAAUGCCUUCCAUCAGUCGGAUACACACAUAGUCAUCAUGAUGGGUGCAUCAGGUGAGCUGGCCAGGAGGAAGAUCUACCCCUCCAUCUGGUGGCUGUUCCGGGAUGGCCUUCUGCCGGAAAAUACCUUCCUCUUGGGCUACGCCUGCUCCCGCCUCAUGGUGGCUGACAUCUGCAAGCAAAGUGAGCCCUUCUUCAAGGCCAAUGCAGAGGAGGAGCUCAAGCCGGAGGACUUCUUUACCCGCAACUCCUAUGUGGCCGGCCAGUAAAAUGAUGCAGCCUCUGACUAGCACCUCAACAGCCACAUGAACGCCUUCCACCGGGGAUCACAGGCCAACCAGCUCUUCUACCUGGCCUUGCCUUCCACGGUCUGUGAGGCCGUCACCAAGAACAUCCACAAGUCCUGCAUGAGCCAGACAGGCUGGAACCGUAUCAUCGUGGAGAAGCCCUUCGGGAGGGAGCUGCGGAGCUCCGAGCGGCUGUCCAACCAUAUCUCCUCCCUGUUCCGUGAGGACCAGAUCUAGCGCAUCGACCACUACCUGGGCAAGGAGAUGGUGCAAAGCCUCAUGGUGCUGAGAUUUGCCAACAGGAUCUUCAACUCCAUCUGGAACCGGGACCACAUCACCUGCGUGAUCCUCACCUUCAAGGAGCCCUAUGGCACUGAGGGUCACGGAGGCUAUUUCGAUGAAUUUGGGAUCACCUGGGACAUGAUGCAGAGCCACCUCCUGCAGAUGCUGUGUCUGGUGGCCAUGGAGAAGCCCACCUCCACCAACUCGGAUGAUGUCCGUGAUGAGCAGGUCAAGGUGUUGAAAUGCAUCUCAGGGGUACAGGCAAACAACGUAGUCCUGGGCCAGUACGUGAGGAACCCCGAGGGAGAGGGCAAGGCCACCAAAGGAUACCAGAUGCCCCCCUGGUGCCUCACGGGUCCACCACCGCCACCUUUGCCGUCGUCCUCUACGUGGAGAACUAGAGGUGGGAUGGGGUGCCGUUCAUCCUGCGCUGCCGCAAGGCCAUUAACGAGCGCAAGGCCGAGGUGAGGCUGCAGUUCCGCAAGGUGGCUGGUGACAUCUUCCACCAGCAGUGCAGGCGCAAUGAGCUGGUGAUCCACAUGCAGCCCCACGAGGCCAUAUACAUCAAGAUGAUGACCAAGAAGCCGAGCAUGUUCUUCAUCCCUGAGGAGUAGGAGCUGGACCUGACCUACCGCAACAGAUAGAAGAACUGGAAGCUCCCUGGCACCUAGGAGCGCCUCCUCCUGGACAUCUUCUGCAGGAGCCAGAUGUACUUCCUGCCCAGCGACGAGCUCCAGGAGGCCUGGCAGAUCUUUACCCCGUUGCUGCACCAGAUGGAGCAGCAGAAGCCCCAGCCCAUCCCCUACGUCUAUGGCAGCCGAGUUCCACAGAGACAGACGAGCUGAUGAAGAGAGUGGGUUUCAAGCAUGAGGGUACCUUCAAGUGGGUGAACCCCCACAAGCUCUGAGCCCUGGGCGCCCCCCUCCACCCCCGCCAUAAGCCAUCCUCCUUCCUGACUACCCAACCCCCACUGGAGUCGGGAGGGAGGACUCUGGGACCAUUGGCCUCAGCGGCAUUCAAUCCUGGCCUUUGGCUCGGGUCACCCUGGCCCGCCCCCUCAUUGCUGCUACUACCCGACACCCCUACAUUCCUCAGCUGCCAAGCACUCAAGACUCAUGCUGUCACCAUCCUGGGCCCCAUAAACCCUGCCUGAGCCAGCCUCCUCCCUCACUCCAGCCCCAUAGAAGGAAGAAGGAGGGAGCCCAUUCCUCUGUCCAGUAAUGGGUGCCCUCCCCCUCAUCCCUCAGGAGAGUGGGGCCUGGGCAGGAGGGAGGGAUGCGGGGAGGAAAGGGGUGAGCGCCCACGUGAGAGACCCUGCCUGUGGCCUUGCCAGCCAGCUUCAGUGCCACUUGACAUUCCUCGUCAUCAGCAACAUCUCGAGCCCCCUGGAUGUCCCCUGUCCCACCAACUCUGCACUCCAAGUCCACCCCAUACUACUCAUAGGUGGCCUCCCUAUUACAAGAAAAGCAGAAGCAGCAGCUGGGACCCCUCCAGACCUCAAUCCCCUGCCAUUAAAUCUGCAAACAGCCAA